GACGAACGCUGGCGGCGUGCUUAACACAUGCAAGUCGAACGGAAAGGCCCUGCUUUUGUGGGGUGCUCGAGUGGCGAACGGGUGAGUAACACGUGAGUAACCUGCCCUUGACUUUGGGAUAACUUCAGGAAACUGGGGCUAAUACCGGAUAGGAGCUCCUGCUGCAUGGGGGGGGUUGGAAAGUUUCGGCGGUUGGGGAUGGACUCGCGGCUUAUCAGCUUGUUGGUGGGGUAGUGGCUUACCAAGGGUUUGACGGGUAGCCGGCCUGAGAGGGUGACCGGCCACAUUGGGACUGAGAUACGGCCCAGACUCCUACGGGAGGCAGCAGUGGGGAAUAUUGCACAAUGGGCGGAAGCCAGAUGCAGCAACGCCGCGUGCGUGAUGACGGCCUUCGGGUUGUAAACCGCUUUCGCCUGUGACGAAGCGUGAGUGACGGUAAUGGGUAAAGAAGCACCGGCUAACUACGUG
rnacentral:rRNA from 1 species